rnacentral:rRNA from 1 species
ACGCUCGACACCUACGGGGGGCAGCAGUGGGGGAUAUUGCACAAUGGGCGCAAGCCUGAUGCAGCGACGCCGCGUGAGGGAAGACGGUCUUCGGAUUGUAAACCUCUGUCUUCGGGGACGAUAAUGACGGUACCCGAGGAGGAAGCCACGGCUAACUACGUGCCGGCAGCCGCGGUAAUCUGAGCGGGCUGGCAAGGC